UACAGAGACUGCAAGCGUUAUUCGGAUUCACUGGGCGUAAAGGGUGCGCAGGCGGCCAAGUGUGUGAGGCGUGAAAGCCUGGAGCUUAACUCCAGAAUUGCACCUCAAACUACAUGGCUAGAGCAUUGGAGAGGGUAGCGGAAUUCACGGUGUAGCAGUGAAAUGCGUAGAUAUCGUGAGGAACACCAGAGGCGAAGGCGGCUACCUGGACAAUUGCUGACGCUCGGGCACGAAAGCGUGGGGAGCAAACAGG
rnacentral:rRNA from 1 species